rnacentral:rRNA from 1 species
AACGAACGCUGCGGCAUGCCUAACACAUGCAAGUCGAACGAGACCUUCGGGUCUAGUGGCGCACGGGUGCGUAACGCGUGGGAACCUGCCCUUAGGUUCGGAAUAACUCCCCGAAAGGGGUGCUAAUACCGGAUAAUGUCUUCGGACCAAAGAUUUAUCGCCUUUGGAUGGGCCCGCGUUGGAUUAGCUAGUUGGUAGGGUAAAAGCCUACCAAGGCGACGAUCCAUAGCUGGUCUGAGAGGAUGAUCAGCCACACUGGGACUGAGACACGGCCCAGACUCCUACGGGAGGCAGCAGUGGGGAAUAUUGGACAAUGGGCGAAAGCCUGAUCCAGCAAUGCCGCGUGAGUGAUGAAGGCCUUAGGGUUGUAAAGCCCUUUUACCCGGGAUGAUAAUGACAGUACCGGGAGAAUAAGCUCCGGCUAACUCCGU